rnacentral:rRNA from 1 species
AUUGAACGCUGGCGGCAGGCUUAACACAUGCAAGUCGAGCGGAGUAUUGGUGCUUGCACCAAUACUUAGCGGCGGACGGGUGAGUAAUGCUUAAGAAUCUGCCUAUUAGUGGGGGACAACAUCUCGAAAGGGAUGCUAAUACCGCAUACGCCCUACGGGGGAAAGCAGGGGAUCUUCGGACCUUGCGCUAAUAGAUGAGCCUAAGUCGGAUUAGCUAGUUGGUGGGGUAAAGGCCUACCAAGGCGACGAUCUGUAGCGGGUCCGAGAGGAUGAUCCGCCACACUGGGACUGAGACACGGCCCAGACUCCUACGGGAGGCAGCAGUGGGGAAUAUUGGACAAUGGGGGGAACCCUGAUCCAGCCAUGCCGCGUGUGUGAAGAAGGCCUUUUGGUUGUAAAGCACUUUAAGCGAGGAGGAGGCUACUCUAGUUAAUACCUAGAGAUAGUGGACGUUACUCGCAGAAUAAGCACCGGCUAACUCUGUGCCAGCCGCCGCCGUAACAC